AACGAACGCUGGCGGCAUGCCUAACACAUGCAAGUCGAACGAGACCUUCGGGUCUAGUGGCGCACGGGUGCGUAACGCGUGGGAACCUGCCCUUAGGUUCGGAAUAACUCCCCGAAAGGGGUGCUAAUACCGGAUAAUGUCUUCGGACCAAAGAUUUAUCGCCUUUGGAUGGGCCCGCGUUGGAUUAGCUAGUUGGUAGGGUAAAAGCCUACCAAGGCGACGAUCCAUAGCUGGUCUGAGAGGAUGAUCAGCCACACUGGGACUGAGACACGGCCCAGACUCCUCGGGGAGGCAGCAGGGGGGAAUAUUGGACAAUGGGCGAAAGCCUGAUCCAGCAAGGCCGGGGGAGUGAUGAAGGCCUUAGGGUUGUAAAGCUCUUUUCCCCGGGAUGAUAAUGACAGUACCGGGAGAAUAAGCCCCGGCUAACCCCGG
rnacentral:rRNA from 1 species